rnacentral:tRNA from 1 species
GCCCCCAUAGUAUAAUGAAUAGUACGCAGCCCUGCGGAGGCUGAGACCGGGGUUUAAUUCCCCGUGGGGGCA